UACGUAGGUGGCAAGCGUUGUCCGGAUUUACUGGGCGUAAAGGGCGUGCAGGCGGUUUGUUAAGUGCAGGGUGAAAGCUCCCGGCUCAACUGGGAGAGGUCCUUGCAUACUGGCAAACUCGAGGGAGGCAGAGGAAAGUGGAAUUCCCGGUGUAGUGGUGAAAUGCGUAGAUAUCGGAAGGAACACCAGUGGCGAAGGCGGCUUCCUGGACUAAUACUGACGCUGAGGUGCGAAAGCGUGGGGAGCAAACAGG
rnacentral:rRNA from 1 species